GAUGAACGCUGGCGGCGUGCCUAAUACAUGCAAGUCGAGCGAACAGACGAGGAGCUUGCUCCUCUGAUGUUAGCGGCGGACGGGUGAGUAACGCGUGGAUAACCUACCUAUAAGACUGGGAUAACUUCGGGAAACCGGAGCUAAUACCGGAUAACAUGUUGAACCGCAUGGUUCAACAGUGAAAGACGGUCUUGCUGUCACUUAUAGAUGGAUCCGCGCCGCAUUAGCUAGUUGGUAAGGUAACGGCUUACCAAGGCAACGAUGCGUAGCCGACCUGAGAGGGUGAUCGGCCACACUGGAACUGAGACACGGUCCAGACUCCUACGGGAGGCAGCAGUAGGGAAUCUUCCGCAAUGGGCGAAAGCAUGACGGAGCAACGCCGCGUGAGUGAAGAAGGUCUUCGGAUCGUAAAACUCUGUUAUUAGGGAAGAACAAAUGUGUAAGUAACUAUGCACGUCUUGACGGUACCUAAUCAGAAAGCCACGGCUAACUACGUG
rnacentral:rRNA from 1 species